UUCAAGAAUGUGGGAACAAAAUGUGGCCUUAUAACACUAGGAGGUAGAACUUUAUCUGAGCACGAUAAUUCUGAUUAUGAAGAUGAAAAUAUAGUUGGACUUCUUUACAAACCACCAUUCAAAGCCAAUGACUUUUCUUGUCCUGCUUUUUCAAAACCUUCUGUCAAGUCGUUAGCAGGCCAUGGUGUUAUAAAGGAAGGAGAGGUGCAGCCGGCAACUGGAAAAAAGGACAAUGGUAUUAAUAUUACUGAAAGUGCUCCACAAGAGCAAACAGUUAAUGACCAUCUGACUUCUGCUGAUAGAGCAUACAAAAGUAAUA